ACGCACGCUGGCGGCGUGCUUAACACAUGCAAGUCGAACGAUGAAGCCUAGCUUGCUAGGUGGAUUAGUGGCGAACGGGUGAGUAAUACGUGAGUAACCUACCUUUAACUCUGGGAUAAGCCUGGGAAACUGGGUCUAAUACCGGAUACGACCAAUCUCCGCAUGGGGUGUUGGUGGAAAGCGUUAUGUAGUGGUUAUAGAUGGGCUCACGGCCUAUCAGCUUGUUGGUGAGGUAACGGCUCACCAAGGCGACGACGGGUAGCCGGCCUGAGAGGGUGACCGGCCACACUGGGACUGAGACACGGCCCAGACUCCUACGGGAGGCAGCAGUGGGGAAUAUUGCACAAUGGGCGCAAGCCUGAUGCAGCGACGCCGCGUGAGGGAUGACGGCCUUCGGGUUGUAAACCUCUGUUAGCAGGGAAGAAGAGAAAUUGACGGUACCUGCAGAGAAAGCGCCGGCUAACUACGUG
rnacentral:rRNA from 1 species